CGGGCCUGCGGAUGAGCCAUAGCGCCUGCUUUGCAAGCAGGAUGUCAGGAGUUCGAAUCUCCUAGGCUCCA
rnacentral:tRNA from 1 species